UUGUCAUUAAUAUGAUCUUUAAUAAGUGGAAUAAUGCACCAUUUUACAGCAAGCCUUUUAAACCUAAAGAACCACCUUCAAACUUCCUUGGCCAAUGUCUCUGUCUCAAUACAAUCUGUUUAUUUAGGUUUAUAUAUAUCAAAGCAUUUACUUACACUUAUUCAUAGAAAACUCUUCAGUGGCUUAAUGUCAGCGUUCAUAGUGGCAUCCAUAGAUAAUACAAAAGGAGAGUGAUCUGCUGUACUCACACUCACACUGCUCCGUCACACGACUUAUACAGCAUGGCAAGGUCUCAGAUGGCUUAUACAAAAGCAAAAUAACUGAAAGUAAUUACUCAUAAAUUCACACACAAUAGUCUAUCUGUAAUGUAAGAGCAAAACACACCAACGAAAGAUACCCGUUAACAAGAAGGAGGGUUCUGAGGAAGUGCCCGUAUUGUCAGCCUUUCUUUUCCGGAAAAGCAUCCUCAGAAGUGAAUACUUGGUAGCUUCUGUUUCUCCUGUCCAUUCAGAAAAGGCAUGGCAGCUACACGUCUUCCAGCCAAUGUUUCAGCUAUAACACCCUAAGAGUUAUUUUACAGCUAUCCAUGUAAAGUCAUCUGAAAAAUUAGCAACAGAAAAUUAAGAAUGAUUCCAGCUUACACAAGCCCAUACAAUAAUCUCUAUGGAAAUAAAGAGAAGGCAUACAACACUGCUUAAAUAAAUAAAUGUUACUAGAAAAAAAAAAUAAGCCACAGAAGUGAAGCAACUCAAGAUUAAAUUGAAACCUAAUUGCUUUGAAUUGCGUUUUUUAGUCAUUAGUUUUCUUAUUCUUAUACAUCUUUACAAAUGUUUCUUUUAUAUGCUUACGACUGAUAACAAGGCGGGGAGACUGAGACAAGAGACUGAUUACAAGAAACUCACUGCUAAGAUUUAAAUAUACAGCGGACCAAUGAGAACUUGAGCUUGUCAACUCAAAGAACAACUGUUUGCCUCUGACAGUGUGGAAAGCUGGUCACCAUAGCUCACCUUCUCAAAGACAUUGAGCUGUCACCAACGACAGCUGCUCACUUUUAGAAAGUCUUAUAAUGCUAAUUAUCCCAUGAGGAAAUUCCAUGUCAGAAUUACCUUUCCUAAUCUUGAUAUUAAAAAACAAAACAGAAUGAAACAUUUGCCCCAUCACGUACAUCCACAGAACCAAGAACAGAAAGUGUUUAAGCCAGUGCUUCAACUCCAAGGCUUAAAUCUGCUGUAACAUGUGGCCAAUUAGUUGAGUAAUUCCUUCUGUACAGUAAUUACAGAACUGGGCAAGUUUUAUGAUUAAUGAAAUCAAACAUCAUGUGAUGUGAAUUAAGUCAAAUAAUAUGAUGAAACAUUACUAUGCAACAAAUACUUUUAAAUAUUCAACUAGAUCUAAUUGCUUGUUUGUUAGCAUCUGAACUCUUUCAGUGUACAAACAGUUGAAAGGGGCCCUGAGUUUUUAAGUAAUACUAUGUCUAAAAGUGAUUCCAAACCAUGAAGAUGUUUCUGGAACUUAAAAUACUAAUUAAAUGGGGGAAAAGCAUUUUAAAAAGAAAGAACAGUCAAGUUGUAAAUUCAAGUACAGUCAAUUUUCUUUUUAAAUUCACUUACAAACUAGACAUUCUAAUGAAGCAAAAAUACUUCUAAAUAUUCUUUCUGCUCCAGAUUUUAAUGUGGGCUGCAAACUACAUUUUACAAGUGAAUAUGUAUGUUUACAAUGCUCAUUAGAAACACCACAAACAUCAGUAAUAACAAAAUGGAAAAUUUUAAAAAGACUCAAUAGAUUUAUUUGGGGCAUAAUCUUAACACAAAGUAUAGCUUCUCAAAAUUUAUAUGCCAUGGGAUAAAUUUUUAAGAAUUUCCUUUCUAUGCAAACACCUAGUUUUAAUCAUUUAAGAGUUGAAAUGAAAACUGUUUUAGUCCAGUCUAUGCUGCAAAAACAGUGACAAGCAUUUCAAAAGUGGUCUACAAAAAUAUAAAACAACCACGAAUACCUGAUUUUUGUAGGGUCUGCUUUUGAAAAUUAGUUUUGCAUUUAGUGUUUAAUAAAGUAUUUGAUAAAGAAAAAUGUGUAAUAUUUGUUGUGGCUCAAUCAUAAUACCCAAACAUAUAAUACUUGUAUCAUACUGCAACAUAGGUUAGCGUUUAAUGGAAAAAAAGAUACACAACUAUAUAUGCAUGGCUUUCUAGUUAUAUCUGUACAGAUAUAAAAAUCAUAAAACAUACUUUAAUAGAAAAAUGUUAGAUAAUACAAAAAUGUUAGGUGCUGAUUUUCAGGUGGUCUGAUGAUUAAAUCCAAUGGUAACAUCUUUAUUCUCAAUUCUAUCAAACUAUUGUGAUAUAAAUUAACUGGCAUAAUUAAUUUGAAUAUAACAUAGAAUUUUAGUGCUUUUAAAUAUAAAUAAAGUAAUUAAAAUAGAUUUGAGAAGAAAAAAACCCUAAAAGAAGUGGAACAAUUUUAUCUGAUGAACUGGUGUUAACUGAGAAGCCAGAAGCUGACUGAAGAGUGUUAGAGAGGAUGACUGUCUCUUCUCUUCUCCCUACUAGGUAUGAGAAACAGACCUUAAAUCAAAUGAGAGAGACUGAACAGGUAUGAAGAAAACUUUCCUGACAUAUGACUGCAAGUCAGACAGUGGAGGACAGGUGCUAUAAACCAUGAGGGACUUAAAGAGAGGAACAGGUAGGUGUUACCACCUCUUUGGGCACAUGGAGAUUUCCUCAGUGUUAAUGUGGACACUUAUAGAAAAGUCUUUUUUGAUAAUAACCUUUGUUAAGUAGUUCAGAAAGUAGCUGGCUAGACUGAAAGAAUCAAAAAGCAGUUAGGAAGGGAUCAUGAAAGGUAGUUUUUGGAUGAAGUUUGCAUAGUUCAUAAUCUAAAAAAAACUUAAAAAGAAAAGCAAAAUACACCACAACCCACUGCUAGUCAAGGGUGUGAAUAUUUAAAACUAUUAUAGCCUAAAAGGCUCCUAGGGCCUAUAAGGGGUUGUUACACACAUCCUAGAAUGCUGGUCUAGAACAGUAGAAUUAGAAUGUGUGCAGAAUCUUUUAAGGACUUAAGGAUAUAAGGUAAUUAUAUAUUUUCAAAAACCUGUGGCUAAUCAUAUAAUAACAUAUACAUGACUGGUACUAAGCUCAACAUAGGUUUAUAAAAUGUGAUAAAUAUAAUAUCAAAUUCUAAUAGUGACUCCCAGUGAAAUAUUUAUGUCCAUAAACAUGACAAGAGGAAACCAAUGUUUAUUUUCUUUCCACUUUAAAUGACUAAUUAACAGAGAGUAAACAGGUUAGCUGUACCAUAUCAGAUUUUCCUUUGGGA
rnacentral:lncRNA from 1 species